UAAUACAUGCAAGUCGAACGCUUUGUGGUUCAACUGAUUUGAAGAGCUUGCUCAGAUAUGACGAUGGACAUUGCAAAGAGUGGCGAACGGGUGAGUAACACGUGGGAAACCUACCUCUUAGCAGGGGAUAACAUUUGGAAACAGAUGCUAAUACCGUAUAACAAUGACAACCGCAUGGUUGUUAUUUAAAAGAUGGUUCUGCUAUCACUAAGAGAUGGUCCCGCGGUGCAUUAGCUAGUUGGUAAGGUAAUGGCUUACCAAGGCGAUGAUGCAUAGCCGAGUUGAGAGACUGAUCGGCCACAAUGGGACUGAGACACGGCCCAUACUCCUACGGGAGGCAGCAGUAGGGAAUCUUCCACAAUGGGCGAAAGCCUGAUGGAGCAACGCCGCGUGUGUGAUGAAGGGUUUCGGCUCGUAAAACACUGUUGUAAGAGAAGAAUGACAUUGAGAGUAACUGUUCAAUGUGUGACGGUAUCUUACCAGAAAGGAACGGCUAAAUACGUGCCAGCAGCCGCGGUAAUACGUAUGUUCCAAGCGUUAUCCGGAUUUAUUGGGCGUAAAGCGAGCGCAGACGGUUAUUUAAGUCUGAAGUGAAAGCCCUCAGCUCAACUGAGGAAUUGCUUUGGAAACUGGAUGACUUGAGUGCAGUAGAGGAAAGUGGAACUCCAUGUGUAGCGGUGAAAUGCGUAGAUAUAUGGAAGAACACCAGUGGCGAAGGCGGCUUUCUGGACUGUAACUGACGUUGAGGCUCGAAAGUGUGGGUAGCAAACAGGAUUAGAUACCCUGGUAGUCCACACCGUAAACGAUGAGUGCUAGGUGUUUGAGGGUUUCCGCCCUUAAGUGCCGCAGCUAACGCAUUAAGCACUCCGCCUGGGGAGUACGACCGCAAGGUUGAAACUCAAAGGAAUUGACGGGGACCCGCACAAGCGGUGGAGCAUGUGGUUUAAUUCGAAGCAACGCGAAGAACCUUACCAGGUCUUGACAUCCCUUGACAACUCCAGAGAUGGAGCGUUCCCUUCGGGGACAAGGUGACAGGUGGUGCAUGGUUGUCGUCAGCUCGUGUCGUGAGAUGUUGGGUUAAGUCCCGCAACGAGCGCAACCCUUAUUACUAGUUGCCAGCAUUCAGUUGGGCACUCUAGUGAGACUGCCGGUGACAAACCGGAGGAAGGUGGGGAUGACGUCAAAUCAUCAUGCCCCUUAUGACCUGGGCUACACACGUGCUACAAUGGCGUAUACAACGAGUUGCCAACCCGCGAGGGUGAGCUAAUCUCUUAAAGUACGUCUCAGUUCGGAUUGUAGGCUGCAACUCGCCUACAUGAAGUCGGAAUCGCUAGUAAUCGCGGAUCAGCACGCCGCGGUGAAUACGUUCCCGGGUCUUGUACACACCGCCCGUCACACCAUGAGAGUUUGUAACACCCAAAGCCGGUGGGGUAACCUUCGGGAGCCAGCCGUCUAAAGUGGGACAGAUGAUUAGGG
rnacentral:rRNA from 1 species